CCUCCUUAUACGAUUUAGAACUUAUUUGUUCGUAGUGUCCACACAGAUGAUUGUUAGUUAGUAAUGCUCUUUGAGUUUACUAACUAAUAUGCUCUUUAAAAAUUUGGAAAAGCUGAUAAUAAAAUUCGUAUGAAUAACAGUGUUAUUUGUACAGAGUUUUCAAAAGUAAAAAAGAAUGAUAGCAGUAUCAUUCAGUGCCAAUUUAAUCAUUUAUGAUUAAUUGGUAUCUACUUUAGUAUUCAAUAUUAACUUCUGGCGAAGUUAAACUGUCACAUAACAAAGACCCGUUUGGGUUGUAUGGUUAAGUGGCUAAGCGUACACGGUGGAUGCCUUGGCAGUUGGAGGCGAUGAAGGACGUAUUAACUUGCGAUAAGCCUAGUCAAGCUAGUAAAAAGCGCUUGAGACUAGGAUUUCCGAAUGGA
rnacentral:misc_RNA from 1 species